UACGUAGGGUGCGAGCGUUAAUCGGAAUUAUUGGGCGUAAAGCGAGUGCAGACGGUUGUUUAAGCCAGAUGUGAAAUCCCCGAGCUUAACUUGGGACGUGCAUUUGGAACUGGAUAACUAGAGUGUGUCAGAGGGAGGUAGAAUUCCACAUGUAGCGGUGGAAUGCGUAGAGAUGUGGAGGAAUACCGAUGGCGAAGGCAGCCUCCUGGGAUAACACUGACGUUGAGGCUCGAAAGCGUGGGGAGCAAACA
rnacentral:rRNA from 1 species